CCUACGGGAGGCAGCAGUAGGGAAUCUUCCACAAUGGACGCAAGUCUGAUGGAGCAACGCCGCGUGAGUGAAGAAGGGUUUCGGCUCGUAAAGCUCUGUUGGUAGUGAAGAAAGAUAGAGGUAGUAACUGGCCUUUAUUUGACGGUAAUUACUUAGAAAGUCACGGCUAACUACGUGCCA
rnacentral:rRNA from 1 species